GCCGAGAUAGCUCANUUGGUAGAGCANAGGACUGAAAAUCCUCGUGUCAC
rnacentral:tRNA from 1 species